GUCGAACGCUGGCGGCGUGCCUAAUACAUGCAUGUCGAACGCAGUGGGGACGGGUGAGUAACACGUGGGUAAUCUCCCAUCAGAGGGGAUAACACUUGGAAACAGGUGCUAAACCGAUACUGAUGGAUGGACCCGCGGUGCAUUAGCGAGUGGGUGGGGUAACGGCUCACCAAGGCCACGAUGCAUAGCCGACCUGAGAGGGUGAUCGGCCACACUGGGACUGAGACACGGCCCAGACUCCUACGGGAGGCAGCAGUGGGGAAUAUUGCACAAUGGGCGCAAGCCUGAUACAGCCAUGCCGCGUGUAUGAAGAAGGCCCUAGGGUUGUAAAGUACUUUCAGUCGGGAGGCGUUACCGGCAGAAGAAGCACCGGCUAACUCCGUGCCAGCAGCCGCGGUAAUAC
rnacentral:rRNA from 1 species